GCUCCGAUAGUGUAGUGGCCAAUCAUUCUGCCCUUUCGAGGCAGACACUCGGGUUCGAAUCCCGAUCGGAGCACCA
rnacentral:tRNA from 1 species